ACGCUAGCGGCGGGCUUAAUACAUGCAAGUCGAGGGGGUGUAGCAAUACAUCACCGGCGCACGGGCGCGUAACACGUAUGCAACCUACCCCUUAUUAAAGGAUAUACUCGGGAAACUGGGGGCAAUACUUUAUAUGCACACAUCUAGGCAUCUAGGAGUGUGGAAACGUAAGGAUAGGGGAUGGGCAUGCGUCUGAUUAGCUAGUUGGUGAGGUAACGGCUCACCAAGGCGACGAUCAGUAGCUGGUCUGAGAGGAUGAUCAGCCACACUGGCACUGAGACACGGGCCAGACUCCUACGGGAGGCAGCAGUAAGGAAUAUUGGUCAAUGGUCGCAAGACUGAACCAGCCACGCCGCGUGGAGGAAGACGGCCCUCUGGGUUGUAAACUCCUUUUGCCGAGGGAUAAAAAGGGGCUAUACGCCCACUUGAAGGUACUCGGUGAAUAAGCCACGGCUAACUACGUGCCAGCAGCCGCGGUAAUACGUAGGUGGCAAGCGUUGUCCGGAUUUAUUGGGUUUAAAGGGUGCGUAGGCGGUUAAUUAAGUCAGUCGUUAAAGGCAGCAGCUUAACUGUUGUAAGGCGAUUGAUACUGAUUGACUUGAAUUCUUUAGAGGUAGCUGGAAUACGUAGUGUAGAGGUGAAAUUCAUAGAUAUUACGUAGAACACCGAUUGCGGAGGCAUGUUACUAUAAAGAGAUUGACGCUGAGGCACGAAAGCGUGGGGAGCAAACAGGAUUAGAUACCCUGGUAGUCCACGCUGUAAACGAUGAUAACUAGAUGUUC
rnacentral:rRNA from 1 species